CCCCCCCCAAAGCCUCUUUUAUUUUUAAAGACCUUUUUCGGAAGGUAUGCUUAAAGAGGGGCUUGCGUCACAUUAGUUAGUUGUCAGGGUAAAGGCCUACCAAGACUAUGAUGUGUAGCUGGACUGAGAGGUUGAACAGCCACAUUGGGACUGAGACACGGCCCAAACUCCUACGGGAGGCAGCAGUAGGGAAUUUUCGGCAAUGGAGGAAACUCUGACCGAGCAACGCCGCGUGAACGAUGAAGUAUUUCGGUAUGUAAAGUUCUUUUAUUGAAGAAGAAAAAAUAGUGGAAAAACUAUCUUGACGAUAUUCAAUGAAUAAGCCCCGGCAAACUAUGUGCCAGCAGCCGCGGUAAUACAUAGGGGGCGAGCGUUAUCCGGAAUUAUUGGGCGUAAAGGGUGCGUAGGCGGUUUAAUAAGUCUAUAGUUUAAUUUCAGUGCUUAACACUGUCCUGCUAUAGAAACUAUUAGACUAGAGUGAGAUAGAGGCAAAUGGAAUUCCAUGUGUAGCGGUAAAAUGCGUAAAUAUAUGGAGGAACACCAGAGGCGUAGGCGGCUUGCUGGGUCUUUACUGACGCUGAGGCACGAAAGCGUGGGGAGCAAACAGGAUUAGAUACCCUGGUAGUCCACGCCGUAAACGAUGAGUACUAAGUGUCGGGAUUACUCGGUACUGAAGUUAACACAUUAAGUACUCCGCCUGAGUAGUACGUACGCAAGUAUGAAACUUAAAGGAAUUGACGGGACUCCGCACAAGCGGUGGAUCAUGUUGUUUAAUUCGAAGAUACACGAACUACCUUACCAGGACUUGACAUACUCUGCAAAGCUAUAGCAAUAUAGUGGAGGUUAUCAGGGAUACAGGUGGUGCAUGGUUGUCGUCAGCUCGUGUCGUGAGAUGUUAGGUUAAGUCCUAAAACGAGCGCAACCCUUGUCAUUAGUUGCCAGCAUGUCAUGAUGGGCACUUUAAUGAGACUGCCAAUGAAAAAUUGGAGGAAGGUGAGGAUCACGUCAAAUCAUCAUGCCCCUUAUGAUCUGGGCUACAAACGUGAUACAAUGGCUGUUACAAAGAGUAGCUGAAACGCAAGUUUAUAGCCAAUCUCAUAAAAGCAGUCUCAGUUCGGAUUGAAGUCUGCAACUCGACUUCAUGAAGUUGGAAUCGCUAGUAAUCGCGAAUUCAGACAU
rnacentral:misc_RNA from 1 species